rnacentral:lncRNA from 1 species
AUGGCUGAUAAGUAUAAUCACAGGGAACCAGUUCAUGGACAUCCCAGAAGAGAUGAAGAAUCGACGGCUUUGCAAUCAGAGGAGCUCAAACGCCAGAAGAGAAUCAAGAUGUACAAAUACAUUGUUAUUUUCAUUGUGGUUCAGCUCAUAGUCCUGCCCGUGUUUGGACUCACUGUGAUGAAAGUUAAGACCCCAAAGUUCAGGUUGGGCAACAUCAAGGUCCAAAACCUCAGCUCUGUGCCAUCAACACCUUCAUUCGAAGCAAGCUUCGCAACCCAAAUUAGAGUCAAGAACACAAAUUGGGGUCCUUAUAAAUUUGAUGCAGGAACUGUCACGUUUAUGUACAAAGGCGUGACCGUAGGGCAAGUUGUUGUUCCUAAGAGCAAGGCUAAGAUGCGUUCUACCAAAAAGAUCGAUGUCACGGUGAGUUUAAAUUCGUAUGGAUUGCCAAGCAGUUCCAAUCUGGGCACUGAAUUGAAGAGUGGGGUGCUGACAUUGAGCAGCAAAGGGAAAUUGACUGGAAAGGUUGUGUUGAUGUUAAUGAUGAAGAAAAGGAAGUCUGCUACCAUGGACUGCACCAUGACAUUCGACUUGUCAACCAAGACUCUCAAAACAUUACAAUGCAAGUGA